rnacentral:rRNA from 1 species
UGGGGAAUAUUGCACAAUGGGCGAAAGCCUGAUGCAGCGACGCCGCGUGAGGGAUGACGGCCUUCGGGUUGUAAACCUCUUUCGGCAGGGAAGAAGCGAAAGUGACGGUACCUGCAGAAGAAGCGCCGGCUAACUACGUGCCAGCAGCCGCGGUAAUACGUAGGGCGCAAGCGUUGUCCGGAAUUAUUGGGCGUAAAGAGCUCGUAGGCGGUUAGUCGCGUCUGCUGUGAAAACUCGAGGCUCAACCUCGGGCUUGCAGUGGGUACGGGCUGACUAGAGUGCGGUAGGGGUGACUGGAAUUCCUGGUGUAGCGGUGGAAUGCGCAGAUAUCAGGAGGAACACCGAUGGCGAAGGCAGGUCACUGGGCCGCAACUGACGCUGAGGAGCGAAAGCAUGGGGAGCGAACAGGAUUAGAUACCCUGGUAGUCCAUGCCGUAAACGUUGGGCACUAGGUGUGGGGUCCAUUCCACGGAUUCCGUGCCGCAGCAAACGCAUUAAGUGCCCCGCCUGGGGAGUACGGCCGCAAGGCUAAAACUCAAAUGAAUUG